rnacentral:misc_RNA from 1 species
GAUGAAGAACGUAGCAAAAUGCGAUAAGUAAUGUGAAUUGCAGAAUUCAGUGAAUCAUCGAAUCUUUGAACGCACAUUGCGCCCGCUGGUAUUCCGGCGGGCAUGCCUGUUCGAGCGUCAUUUCAACCCUCAAACCCCCCGGGUUUGGUGUUGGGGAUCGGCUCUGCCUCACGGCGGUGCCGCCCCCGAAAUACAUUGGCGGUCUCGCUGCAGCCUCCAUUGCGUAGUAGCUAACACCUCGCAACUGGAACGCGGCGCGGCCAUGCCGUAAAACCCCAACUUCUGAAUGUCGACCUCGGAUCAGGUAGGAAUACCCGCUGAACUUAAGCAUAUCAAUAAGCGGAGGA